rnacentral:rRNA from 1 species
AUUGAACGCUGGCGGCAUGCCUUACACAUGCAAGUCGAACGGCAGCACGGGUGCUUGCACCUGGUGGCGAGUGGCGAACGGGUGAGUAAUAUAUCGGAACGUACCUUAUUGUGGGGGAUAACGCAGCGAAAGCUGUGCUAAUACCGCAUAAUCCCUAAGGGGGAAAGCGGGGGACCGUAAGGCCUCGCGCAAUUAGAGCGGCCGAUACCUGAUUAGCUAGUUGGUGAGGUAAAGGCUCACCAAGGCAACGAUCAGUAGCUGGUCUGAGAGGAGGAUCAGCCACACUGGGACUGAGACACGGCCCAGACUCCUCCGGGAGGCAGGAGUGGGGAAUUUUGGACAAUGGGGGCAACCCUGAUCCAGCAAUGCCGCGUGAGUGAAGAAGGCCUUCGGGUUGUAAAGCUCUUUUGUCAGGGAAGAAACAGCAGCUCUAACACAGUUUGCGAAUGACGGUACCUGAAGAAUAAGCACCGGCUAACUACGUGCCAGCAGCCGCCGUAAAAC